CGACGUGGGUACCGUGCCUUGUACUGGGGGAUAGCAGCUGGAAACGGGUGGUAAUACCGCAUAAGCGCACAAUGUUGCAUGACAUGGUGUGAAAAACUCCGGUGGUAUAAGAUGGACCCGCGUCUGAUUAGCUAGUUGGUGAGAUAACAGCCCACCAAGGCGACGAUCAGUAGCCGACCUGAGAGGGUGACCGGCCACAUUGGGACUGAGACACGGCCCAG
rnacentral:rRNA from 1 species